AUACCAUUCUUCAGAUAAUUUGAUUAUCAAAAGAUUUUGUAUUAAAUCCUUGCUGAUUUUUAUAUUAGUAUUGAAGUGAUCUGUUACAUGCCUUCUCUGUUUUAAAUAUAAACUGCAGUAUAUUAAAGUUGUUGACUUGACAUCUCGCUUGUCUUAGUAAUAAAGGAAACAUGAGCCAAUAAUUCUGUGGCAUUUUUUAAAUUCUCUUCAAAAUUAAUCGAAAAGCAAAUGUGUUUGAAACAAUAUUAGAAUUUCCAAGGAAAUAAUCCAAAGAAAGAUUUGCAUGAAAAUUAGCUUAAACUAUAAACUAGUAUUCAUCCAAUGCAAAAUACCGCAGUGAAAAUCUGUUGCUUGUAAAAACACAAAAUGAAAAGCUUUUUGUAGCAUCUAUGAGGAAAUGGUUAAUAUUAAUGUGGUUAACUUUUUAAUCGGAUCAAUGAUUUCUUCUCACUGACCUUUCAUUCCCAUAAAUGUUUUAACCACAUCCAAUUUUUGACAAAAGAUAAUAAAUUGCCUUUUGUCAUGUCUGACCUGUAGGAUUUUGUUCUCAUAAUAUAUGAUUAACGAGAUUCCUUGCACCUAAAAAUCAAAGAAGUGAUUUCUUGAAAGAAGUGAUACCCUAACAUUUCAGGUAUUAAAUUGUUUUGACUGUCUCAAGCUCAUUCAACAUGAGUAUCAUCAAAACUAACUUGGACAAAGUAAGGUUGAUGACUGGGUGUGUUCUGAAUCAAGAUAUAGUUUGUUCCCUGCGUCUUAUAUUCCAUUUCAUCCAUAUUCCAUUUAAUAUCUUGCCAUGUAUUUUGAAAUCUCCUUUCAUUGGAGAUGUUGAAAGAAUAAAAUUCCAUAAUAAAAAGAUAAUU